rnacentral:rRNA from 1 species
ACGAACGCUGGCGGCGUGCCUAACACAUGCAAGUCGAACGGGACCGGGGGCAACUCCGGUUCAGUGGCGAACGGGUGCGUAACACGUGAGGAACAUGUCCAUCGGCGGGGGAUAGCCGGCCCAACGGCCGGGUAAUACCGCGUACGCUGGUCUGGGGGCAUCUCCGGGCCAGGAAAGCAGCAAUGCACCGAUGGAGUGCCUCGCGGCCUAUCAGCUAGUUGGCGGGGUAAUGGCCCACCAAGGCGACGACGGGUAGCUGGUCUGAGAGGAUGGCCAGCCACAUUGGGACUGAGACACGGCCCAGACUCCUACGGGAGGCAGCAGUGGGGAAUCUUGCGCAAUGGGCGAAAGCCUGACGCAGCGACGCCGCGUGCGGGACGAAGGCCUUCGGGUCGUAAACCGCUGUCGGGAGGGACGAAGAUCUGACGGUACCUCCAAAGGAAGCACCGGCUAACUCCGU